rnacentral:rRNA from 1 species
AACGAACGUUAGCGGCGCGCCUAACACAUGCAAGUCGAACGCGACAGGGGCAACUCUGUUGAGUGGCGCACGGGUGAGUAACACGUAGGUAAUCUCCCCCCGAGUGGUGGAUAACCUUCCGAAAGGAGGGCUAAUACAGCAUAAGACCACGGCUUCGAAAGGAGCUGAGGUCAAAGCGGAGGAUCGCAAGACUUCGCGCUUGGGGAUGAGCCUGCGGCCAUCAGGUAGUUGGCGGGGUAACAGCCCACCAAGCCUAAGACGGGUAGCUGGUCUGAGAGGAUGAUCAGCCACACUGGAACUGAGACACGGUCCAGACUCCUACGGGGGGCAGCAGUGGGGAAUCUUGCGCAAUGGACGAAAGUCUGACGCAGCGACGCCGCGUGGGUGAUGAAGGCCUUCGGGUUGUAAAGCCCUGUGGGGAGGGACGAAUAAGUUUCAGCUAAUACCUGAAGCGAUGACGGUACCUCCUUAGCAAGCACCGACUAACUCUGUGCCAGCAGCCGCCGUAA